CCACUGCUUUGUUUCAGCAGGGAUGGUGGUAGCAGGCUGCUACCUGCCAGGCUGUGUGUGCAGGGGAUAUGUGGGAAACCUCUGUUCCUUCCUCUCAAUUUUGCUCUGAAUCUAAAACCCUGCUUAAAAAAGUCAAUUCUUAAAAAAAACAGGAUGGAGACAAACCUUUCAGAUACAAUACAUGAACUUGGGUUCAAAAACAGUAAGAAAACUCUCUCCGGGGCAAUUACAGAAAUACCAGAACACGUCUCAGGACAGAGGCUGCAGUGAAGGAGGUGGGACACAGAGGUACUCGCAUCCCGUGCCUUGGGCCCCUCACUCCAGGACGUUAGUAUCAUCCGCACUAAAAGAACAGUGCGUUCUGGCCAUUCUGGGACCUAAGCAGGGGCCAGCCAGACCUCAGCAUCCUUCACAUCUGUCCUGCUGGCCACGGUGUCUGGGGAGAGCUGUGCCACCCCCCUGCUCUGAUCACACCUACCUUCUCCGGGGGACUGGCUGGUGCCCAGAGUGGGAAAUGAAACAUGUCUUCAAUUGUUGA
rnacentral:lncRNA from 1 species